rfam:Paraglaciecola psychrophila 170 chromosome, complete genome.
CUUCGUCGAUUUGUUGAGGACAAAUAAAGUGAAUGUGCGCGUCGAUACCACCAGCUGUAAGGAUUAGACCUUCACCGGCAAUGAUUUCGGUACCGGGGCCGAUUUCGAUAUCAACGUUGUCUUGAAUAUCGGGGUUACCGGCUUUUCCUAUUAUGGCAAUACGACCAUCUUUGAUGCCAACAUCUGCUUUGACAAUGCCCCAGUGGUCGACGAUCAACGCAUUGGUGAUCACCAAGUCUGGCGUGUCCUUACAUGAACCUUGGCUUUGACCCAUUCCGUCACGAAUG